rnacentral:rRNA from 1 species
UACGUAGGGGGCAAGCGUUGUCCGGAAUCAUUGGGCGUAAAGCGCGUGUAGGCGGUUCGUUAAGUCUGCUGUGAAAGUCCAGGGCUCAACCCUGGGAUGCCGGUGGAUACUGUCGAGCUAGAGUACGGAAGAGGCGAGUGGAAUUCCCGGUGUAGCGGUGAAAUGCGCAGAUAUCGGGAGGAACACCAAUUGCGAAGGCAGCUCGCUGGGACGUCACUGACGCUAAGACGCGAAAGCGUGGGGAGCAAACAGG